ACUACCAAGAAUUAUACAACUAGAAAAAGUAAUAACAGAAUUCAUCUGGAAGGACAAAAGGUCAAGAAUAUCAAGGGAAUUAAUGAAAAUAAGUGUCAAGAAAGGUGGUCUAGCAGUACCAGAUCUCAAAAUAGUCAGCUUGAGCUAGCCACAAAAUCUGGCACAGAAUCUGACUCCUGGACCUCUGAUGGCUCACCAUUCCGACUUUUUGAAGCUCACAGGACCAUAGCUAUCUCCAGACUCCACCAAAGAGCAGGGAAGAACAAAUGUAAAGAGGCAGAGAACAUGCCUACCUGUCAGCCCCAAAUGGAAAGGUCUUUCUCCAUCAGAAGAUGUUUCAGAAGCAUGUUUCUCUCCUUAAAGUCAGAAGGCAAAAAAGAUUGGAGCAUCCCUUUGGUCUUUUGAAUUUACCCCAGUUCUAGUUGAUCAGUCAAUCAAAAUUCUAUCUCACACUUCUCUAUCUCUUCAUAUGGUUAGCAGACUAGAACGAGCUACUUAAUGUGUGUUCAUGCUCAAUGUAGGGAUUGCAUAAACAGAGUUUGCUAAAAAUGCUGAAAUGACUGGGCUUAUUAGCUAGGUCCCUGCCCCAUCUAUAUUUUAUCUUAGAGACAAUGGAGAACCACUGUAGGGAACUGAGUAGGGGAAAUCCCUUUGUUAGAGUGGGGAGAAACUUAAAACAGGGAGACCAAUGAGACAGCUACCACAAAAAUACUAAUGAGAAGUGAAAAGGUAUGUACCAAAGUGGUGGCUGUGUGAGUAGGGAAAUGCUAGAUAGGAAAAAUGUGUAAAUGACAAAAAUUGGCAAUGUAUUGGAUAUGAUGGAUAAGGAGAGUGAGAAGUUAAGGAUAAAUCUGAGUUUCUGAACCUGAUAGCCCAUGAUGAUGGUGGUGCUUUGACAAGAAAUAGAAAAGUUUAGAAAAGAGGUGGUGGGAGUGUUGGAGAGAAGAGAGAAGAUAAUCAAUUUUUUUUAACAUAUUGAGAUAUUCAUGGGAUUUCCAGUUUCAAAUGUCACCAAGCAGUUGACAGUGCAGGACUAGAGCUCAGGAGAAAGACAAGGGCUGGAUAGAAAGAUCUGGGAAUCUUCUGCAGAGAGAUGAUCAUUAAACACAUUGGAGCUGAUGAGGAUAGCAGAGAUGAUAUCUAGAAUGUUUACCUGAGUGACUAGAAGAAUGGUGUCACUCUUGACAGACAUGGGAAAAUAAAAGGAGGUGAUACAGAGUUAGAGACCUGGUU
rnacentral:lncRNA from 1 species